rnacentral:lncRNA from 1 species
ACCUUCAGAAAUGUUGUCUGCUCCCACAGCUCUGAAACAAAAGCACACCCUUCUCCAAGCAGGAGAGAGCCCAGCUCUGCCCCCCGGGGACACCCAGGGCCUUCACCCCAAAUAGCGGAUCCUGUGGGACCCAUAGCACUGGGGCCCUGGGGCACUGGGCGCUGGGCCUGCGUGGAUUUCCCAGCCUUGCUGGAAUUCCGUGCUUCGCAGCAAACUCCUUCAUGCGGGGGAAGCCGGAGGAGAAGGCCCAGGGAAAAUGGGUUGUAGACAAAUGACAGGCGCCCCGUCCUGGGGGAAUCAGGAAGGGGUCCUGCAGCCCCUGGUGUGGCCCUUUUCCCAUGCACAGUCCGGGCCCCCCACGGCUUCUGCAGGACCCACCUCAGCUCCGGGUCCAGGCUGGGCCAGCGCUCUGUCUCCUCAACGGUGAAACGGGUUGCUCAACCCACUUGCAGGUUGUUGAAGUUCAGGCCUUAUCCUCGGGCACAGUCGGUUCUGGAAGCCACAGUCUGCUGCCUGCAAAUGUGCUCCUCAAAUCGCCUUCCCACCCGCAGCCCCUCAGCCCACCGUGGUACCAAGUGGCCAAAGUCUACGGCCAUGCCCCCCGAACGCCUACGAGCUCAUCUGAUCUCGGAAGCUAAGCAGGGUCGGACCCGGUUAGAACUUGGAUGGGAGACCAAAUGGCGCCAGCGCUGGGCUUUCUUCCUCAAACCCCACGACCACGACAGCGCGAUAAACAGGGACCCUGUUGGAGGCCACGUGGGUCACAGGCCUGCACCGGACACAGCACUUCGGCGAAGGCAAUGGGGAUCCUGAUUGGCCGCCCAGGGCCCUCCCAGAGCCAGACGCGGAAGGGGAGGGAGCUCUCCCGGGAGCCUCACGCGGGACACUGAGCACAGCCCCUCCGCGCACACGCGGUUAUCGAUAAACGCAGACGUGACACGUUCGUGGGUUCUGUUUCCCUGGAGGGCAGCUGGGACUGGUGUGAAUUCUCCCGUCUCACCCCACAAAUCCUAACGGGCACCCGCGAGCUUUCUCGUCUCGACUUUCACACGUAAAUUGUGUUUUCUUUUUAAAAUGACUCGUAGCGCGAGCUCCUGGCGUCCGUGCCAGGUUGGAAUAGAGACGCUGUCCCGGGGGGAGAGAGGGGGACGGUUGAGAAUUCUCUGGAACCCCCAGCGGCGCAGACACCCACCCGCGGCUGGACGCGCGGAGCCCGCCCUGGGCCUCCCUCCCCGGCUUCAGGUCCCCGCCUCGGCCCUGCCCACCUGGGGCUGCGCUCCCUGCAAGUCUGCGGCCCCCACGCGGCCCUCGGCCCCGGCGCGGGUCUUCUGCGGACGCCUCCAGCCAGCUCCGGGUCCCUGCGCGGAGGACGCUGAUUCGUGUCGUUAAGCGGGUGAAGCGGGUGUAGACAGAGCAGGACAUUUUAAAAGCCCAGACCCCCUCCUUACAGAGCAAAUGUCCAGGCUUCGGAGGUCACUGUCACAUCCCAAGAACCCCCUUCACCAGGUGCCACUCUUGAGACUGGACUGAAGCCCCCUGGAGAGGUGAGCUUGGUGGGCUCUGUAGGUUUAGGGAACUUUGAGGUUCACUGCCCUUAGGAGGGAAGCCCUCUCCGGUUCUCCGCAGUCCCCACCGUUCCCUAUCGUCACCCCUGGGCACCUGCACUCCCACGGUUCUGCCUGGGCCUUGGGGGCAUUUGAGCCCUGGGCCCAUCCUGAGUUGGUUUGGAGGCUGGGCUGUGUGGAGCUGUGGAAGGCCCUGGGCAUGCGGCCAGCUCACUGCUGGGAGCCUGGUUUUCUCACUGUCCAGCUGUGUGGCUCGGGGGCCCCCGUCUCUAUGUCUCAGUGAUGACAACACUGGCCGUGUGGGUCCUGGUGGGCCUUGAGUGGGUUCCUCUGCUCAGACAUGAGGUGCUUAGACCUCGCCCUAGCUCUGCCCUGUGACCUUGGCAGGUCACCCGGGGUCACUUUCCCAUCGGAGUGGGGGUGGGGACUGGAACCAGCCACUCCCAGGUCCCUCCUCUGAGGUUGCUCUUGGCACUGGUCCUGGGGACAGGGCUGCAGGGGACUCUGGCCUCUCUCUCCCCUCUCAGUUCCACUUGCCUUUGUCCUGCUGCCUGAGAUGAGGGCAUGGACAGCCGGGUACAAGACGGGACAGGCAACCUCGCAGUGGUGGUAACCCUGUGCAUGAACCCUGGGCCUGGCACGUGGACCUCCUGUGACCGUCCCCACAGGCCCGUGAGGCUGAGCUUGGCACUGCCCAAGACCACACAGUCCAUGCGCAGUGGAGCUGGGGUCCAGGCUGCCCACCAGGGCAGUGACUGCAAUGGUGGCAGCAGGGGACAGUCACCAUGGUGAGCUCAAGCCAGGCGCUGCACUGACCUUGAGGGAGGGCUCCAUGCUUCCCCUUCCCACAGCUGCAGUGAGGGCUAGGAGAGCAGGGUCGGCUGCAGGCUUGAGUCCUGGGGUGCCUCUGGGCUGACGGGCCCUGCCUGACCUGCUCCUCCAGUGCCCCAGCCCUGCCCCACCCACGUCCCCUCCUCUCACUGCCCCCUGGCCCACUCCGCUGCGGUCUCAGUGCCUUCCCAGGCUGGGCAUCAUCUGAUGGGAGGAAAAUGAGGGCCCCAGACUCUGUGUCAUCCUGGCAGGACCCCUCCCCUCCCAUGGCUUUGAGCCCAUGAGAUGGCCUUGGACAAAGCGGCAAUGGGCCCUUCCUGAGACACAGUGCGGCCAUCUACUGGGAAACUGCCCAGUGUGACUCUGAUGACUGUGAUGUGAAUCCCACAGCAAAGUUGAGCAGUGCGCAACCUGGGCUACUGCACCUGGCAGCCCUGGCUCCUCCUCCUCUGCCUCUUCCUGCUCCUUCAUUCUCCCCCAGAGCUCUAAUUGUCACUGAGAUUUUAUGUUUCGUUUAACAAAUGACUGUCUCCCCGCUUGAACAGAACCUCCAUGGGGGGAGGGAAGAGUGUCUGUUGUAUAAAUAGUUGUAUUUCAGUGCAUAAAACAG